CUCUAUUAAUCAUCAUCUCCACCAUCCUGCAAUUAUCGAAGAGCAGCCCCUGCCUGUUUCUGCCAAAGUUCCCAGGGUAAGCUUUCUUUAAUGCUUCCACCUUCUUCCAUGGUUUCACCUGCAGUUAUUGAAGAACAAAUCUGUUAAAUUAUUUCAGUCAUUCACUCUCUGCCGAAAGUUCCAAGAGCUUUGGCACGUUGAUUCACUAGCUCAACCACAAUAGCCAACUACACAUUUUAAGGUAUUUACCUAGCCCCAUAUACUGUAUUCCAUCACACAUUUUCUGCAUCCAAGCAUGAUAGACAAACAAAACCAAUAUGUGAGAAUGAACAUAGCAGCAUGAAGAACCAGCAACAUAUAGCAUUUAACAGAUUUUGACCUUCACACCAUAGCUUUACCAUCUCACAACUGAUAAACCAUGUACAUUAAGAUACCUCAGAAAAUUCAUACGCAGUAGUUGUAAAGUGAGAGUAGGGAACUUAGCUUCUGAGAGGGAG
rnacentral:lncRNA from 1 species